GGGGCCUAUGACAUUUUGAAUGUGUUUGGCAUGGUGUAAAGUUUGUGAACAAACUGGGGGGUUCUACAUGCAUCCUCAAGGCCUGUCUGGGACUAAAAGUGGGGUGAUAUGUCAAGUUACUUCUGUUGGAAGGAAAAGACCCCAUGCACAUAUUAAUACAAAGCUAUUGGCCGGGAAAGUACCAGGGAAAUCUCCAAGCCAGUUUGCUGUUGAAAUAAUGGAGUUGGUCAUUGUGAAAUUCACCAUCAAAAACUUAGAAGAGGAUUGUGCAAACAAGAUAUGGGGAACAACUUGCUAAAUUGUUAAGAGAUUCAGUGAAUUGCAAGGUAUAACAUCCACUUUCACAAGGCACAGUGGCUCUGUAUUACUCAGCCUUGAGAGCGGAAAGAUAGCUACCGGGCUCUGAUUCAAAAACCCAUAUUGUGUUCCGGUUGCCAUGGUUACCAGGGCCUGAAAUUCAAAAUCCUCAAGAACAAACAGCUAAUCACAAACAACAGCCUGGAUGACGAGUCUGCGUCCAUCUGCAAGCUGCGCUUCUGUUUGCACAUGCCCCCCCCCCACUCCUUAUUUGCAUGCUCGGGAUGAGAGCAUAUUUAUGCGGAAGUGUUUCAUAAAGAGAGCAGCAGUGAGGCUUUGUCUGCCGUUGUGGGUUUCAAAUGCAUAAGGGUCUUAAUAUGUAUGUGCAUUCAUAAAUGACCUUAAUUGGAAUUGUGA